CAUGAAAUUUGUAGGUGAAUUGGUGAAUGAUGUCAUUCCACGCCCAAAUCCACAUGGAGAACCCUCCCCAGGUGUCGGGAAGGUAUUUCUGGAGUACUCAGAUGUUGAAGGUUCCAAAAAAGCUCAAGCGGUAAUGAAUAGUCGGAAAUUCGGUGGAAAUCAAGUAAUUGCCGUCUACUAUC